UUCAAAUCACCCAAAAGCCAAAAAGAAGUUGUUAGGUCGAAACUCAUUUUUUAGAAAAAUUGGGGGCGACAAUAGUCACCUAACUGAAGUCUAUCAAUAGCCACAUGAAGAUGCCCUGUAAUCAACAAAGAAAGAGCAAGUGCAGUAUCGGUACACAACCAAAGUGUACUGGUAGGAUCACGUGGCUAUCCCAAUAAGUGUAACAUACAUUAUUGAUAUACCGUGAGUUUAUGGUAUUUUUAAUACAUUUCACUUAAGAGUUGUUUAUGUGUCUAGAGCCAUUUUGCAUUGGUUUUUUAUGUAUUUUUAUUAUGUUAGCAGGAAAUAUGUUCAGACGCGAAAACUGAGAGACAAAGUUGAAUAAUAUGCAGAAAAGCCCAUCUACGGAUGUGAUUGAUGGACCAUAGGUCCAUUCACGUUCUGUAGAUGAUGAUCGUAGAUGGACUAGCAAGGCAUGGAG
rnacentral:lncRNA from 1 species